ACUGUGAGCAUCAACUUCUGUGUUUG
rnacentral:piRNA from 1 species